UUGACUUGGCAGAAUAAUAUGCAAUUGACUUAGAAUCAAUCUAUAAUAAAAUAAUAUUAGUCGGU
rnacentral:tRNA from 1 species